GGUGGAAAAUAAGGAGGAGGAUUGCUCUAGGUUAAGGGACAAGCGUAUACAAAGACACAGGAUUGUCACUGAGUCCUGUAUUUUGGUGUAGCUGGGGCCUUAGUGGUAGGGUGGGUUCAUUUCCUUGGCAGGUGAUUCAGAUAUGGUUCAAAGUAGAUGGGCAUAAAUGCAAUUUUGUUUUAGGGGAAAGAAUGGAAAAUGAAGUUUGAUGGCAAGUUCAAAAUUACAAAGGAUUUAAAAAGAAUGAAAUGAUUGAAUUAACAUUAAGGACUCGAGUAUCUCUCUGCACUACAAGUAAUUGGAAUUCAGAGUUAUGCAGCCGAAGCCCCUCAUUGGCCUGGACUCAGCAAAGUUGCUGGGUGACUUUGCAGAAGAGAAACAUCCCCCGAUUUAGAGAAAAAUCAAAGGGAAAAGAGCUACAUAGGGACUUAUAGAGAGAAAGGUUUUUGUUUUUUUUUUAUAUUUUCACUUUUUUGUAUAUUUCUAGCAGCAAUAACAUUUAUAAAUAGCAAAACUAAUUAGAGUGGUUAGGUUUCCAGACCUGCAGAAAAAAAAAAAAACUUGUAAGGAAUGUCUGAUAAGGAACAUUAAGUAAGAUGAGGAAUAAGAAAGGUUGAAGAGCUUCAAAUCAAUUGGAAUUUAAAGUUUAAAGUCCUGGGCUUCGGAACUCCAAAUGAUCCUUAAAGAAAUUGUGGUAUCCCUUUAAGAGCCAUUUGGUGCAAUUCAUAGCCUGAUUCAUGUCACCAGCUGCCUCUGAUUUCAGAGAGAAAUGCAGAAAUUUAUAGGGAACUGUAAAAUAGGGACAGGUUUUGAGUUUUCUAAAUUGGGGUUUCACAGGAAAACUUCUGAAACCACAGAGCUGGGCUGUGGGAAGCCAGUUUCUUUUCCGGUCAGAACAAAUAAACACACAAAUACACAUCUAACUCUCAAAGUGUUGGGAGAGAGGACUCAACGGUCUUUGCAGAAGAGGAAAAGGAAAAAUCAGCCUUGUGGGCAAUGGGAGGAGGUCACAUUGACCAGUAGGCAGCACCCUGCGCUGGCAGAGGGAGAAAUUCAAGCUUCAGCUGCGCCCGCCAGAGCAGGCUUUUGCACAAACUCCAGCUUCCCAGGGGCAUGUCUCCCGUGCAUCCAGCCUCCCCUUCAGUGGAAGAGAACCUCCACCCCGGUCACCCACAGGACAUGCAGAGAUCUGCUCUGCCAGUCCCCUCCUUUAUCCUGUGUGGCGGACUCCAGCAUUGGAGAGAAAACAACUCAGAGCUCAGAUAGGACAUCAGCAAAAGAACAUUAAUUACACAGAAAGAGCCGACUAAGAAGGCAGUGCUAGCAUCUACCCUAGGAAGAAAACAUGUUGCAGAUGCCAAAGCCUCCGACUAUCUGCAAACGACUACAGGUUUUCCUGUGAGCCAAAACCCCUAGCAGACAGCAUGUGGGAGCACCAAGUUCUGCAGUUAGUUACUUGUCUCUCCCCACUUAAAAGCAACUCAGUGCCAUUUACCAACUCAGAGUAUGCAGAGGUUCAGUCCAGCCUAGAAAGGAUCCCUCAGUGCCAGGAGGCCAGGUGCCCCAGAGGUAUAGCAAGACCUGGGCCCAUGUAUGUGUCUGUGUCGAUGGUUUGUGGAGAAAUGUAACACUGGAUUGGAGCUGAGCUGAAUAAUAAGAAAUACCUUCUCUAUGAUAAUGGUGCUUUUCAUACUGAUAAGUCCCUCUAUAAGAACUUCCUCCAUAAUAUAGCAACCAACAUUGAGGAGGGAGAGGCAGGUUUGGGUGUGAAACACAGGUUUUACUGAGCAUCUUUUCUGUGUUAGAGCAUCUUUUCUGUGUUCCUUAAAUUACUUUCACAAACUUGUGAGGGUCCUACUAUUAUAUAUUUCUUUCUCUUUUCUUUUUCUUUUCUUUUCACAAAUGAGGAGACAGGCUCAGAGAUUAUCUAAUUUGCCAAGUUUACCUAGCAAUAUAUUUAUUACUCCCCACCACUACUACUACAACAGAUUAAUUGUCUUCAGUUAUUUUUAUAUCUUAAAAAGGUGGAUAGUAAUAUUAUUCCCAUUUUCCAUAUGGGAUAACUGCCCAGAGAGGCUAAGUAACUUGCCCAGAGUCACACAGAUAGUGUUUGAGAAAGAAUUUGAGCUCUUGUGCAUUGUAUAUCAUUGCUUCUUACUAAUAUAUUAUAAUGCAUGAAGAAUUUCAAACACACAACACACAUACAUGCAGAAUUCACCGAGAACCCCAAUUUGAUUCAUUUUGAGGAAAGCAUUAGACUGAGAAACAGAACUUAGCUAUAAUCUUUUCUUUUUACCCAAGCUGAUUACAUACUUUGGGCAUAGUAAUUUAAUAUCUCUUAUCUUAUUUUUGCAUUUGCAAAAUGGAGGUUGCCAUGAGGCUUGAGAUGAGAUUAUGCCUGUGAAAGGGCUACCUUAGUUGUCCAGAGGGCUACCUGCUAUUCAAACCCAGGAGGCAAAUUUGUGCACUCCCUCUCUAAGACACCAUUCCUCUGGCACAUUUUGGGGACCGAUGAUUUGAGCUCUCACUGUAAGUCAUGUCCCAUUUUCGCUCCAAUCUCAUUCCACUUGAGAAUGUCGGUCUUGCCAAGCCUGGCGUUGUCAGGAGACUGUGGUCAAGAACACAGGUACAAGUAUAUCAGAUGAGAACCUAUGUUUGAACUCAGGCACAGUUUUCACAAAAUGUUGCUUUCUGUUGCAGGCAGGGUAAGAGAAACCGCCUUUAAAAUUCCCAUUAAAAAAGAAUCUCAGGCUCCUCAGACAUCAAAUAACUCUCACAAGACAACAUUUUAAUGAUUUAAGUGUAAAUGAAUCAGAAACACAUGGACUGCAUUUCUUUUGGAAUACACAAAGGUUUUAAAACCAAAGGAGAAAGAACUUGGCAAAACGCACACAGUGCUGCGCAGAGGGCCCUGCCCAGGAAAGACGCCCUGGAUUCAUGCUGCCUCUGAGCUCGCCCUCCCCGAUUUUAGGGGACACACUGGGAAAUGCAAUCAACUGUUCUGGUUCUGGGCACAGAGGGAAGAGCUUGGAAGAGAAAGUCACCAUUCCCUCUUGUUCUCAAGUGUCAUAGAACAAUUAGGCCUCCCAGAAUAAUUUCCUGGCGGUGUUUUUCCAAGGCUGCCAGUGUUCAAUGGCAGGCAUUUGAAAUAUGUUCGAAGCCAAAGUUCUGCCAAUAUACAGCAGAUCUGAUGUGUGUGCUUCCCUGGGAUUUAGCCAAGACUCAGAGGAAAUCUGCAUGAGAACUGUAACUGGCUCAGUGAGGGAUCUCGGGGAGAACCAGCGCAGAUCCACAUUGGGUCAGACCGCAUUUGCGACAGUGUCCUGUGCUUUUGAUGUGAACUCCUGGAUGUCAUUAUCAGAUUGUGGGUGGGGCAGGGGAGGCAUGCAAGGGACCGGGACUAGGAGAACUGGGCUCAGUGUCUGUGAGCUGUGUGUGACCUUAGGAGAGUCAUUUUCUUUCUUGGGGGAGGACAUCAGUUUGCUCAGCUAUCAAAUCCAUGCAUUGGACUCGGCUGAACUUAUGGAGCACACUAAUGUGAACGUGAAGGUCGUGCAAUGAUAGUGUGAAGGAGGCUCAGUGGAUCGUGAGACCACUGAAGAAUCAAGGUAUCUUGAGUACUCAAGGUAUCUAGAGUAGACUUCGUCAUCUUGGCACUUGCUUUGUUUGUGGUCACCAUUCAUUACUCAGAAUUCCUUCAUAGAUAUUCAGGGGUGGGGGGAAUAGCACUUAAAGGGUUUCAAUGAGUUUUUUUUUUUUUUUAAGUUUGACAAAAAUGGUUUAAAAAUGAAUAUGAGGAACUAAUAGUUUAUUUCAUUUAGAAUCAUACAAGUGUAUGGUGUUGGAGGUGGCCUGGCUGCUCUUGGGUUACUGUCAGAGGGGGGUUUCAGAGAGCUUACCUCUAUGGAAUACUGCUGCAGCAUUCCUACCACUGGAGGAUUUUGGUUUACAUGUUCUACCAAAGUAUUUAUUUUGUGUAGCUCCUGAGUGCAAGUUUCUGGAAUUCCGUGAAUGUGUCCUACAAUGCAAAGAAUUUGGGUGAUAGGUUUUUUUGGCAAAGCCUGAGACCCAGGGCUCCCUAUAGAAGAGCUAAGAAACUGAUAAAUAGAUCCAAAGACUGUAGCUAGAGUUAAACUUUGGGUGUUUCAAUAUAUUGACUAACUGUGUUGAAAGUAAUUUUUAAAAUGCCAAACCUGGAGCUACAUCCCAGGAGAUUUAAAUUCAAUGAAUCUUUGUAAGGGCAGCUGAAUCUGCAAUUUUAGAAUCUCCCCUGGUGUGAUUUUGCCAUUUUUGGUAAUGUAACAUAAUGGUACAUCUUAUAAUUGAUGGGUGUCUUAGAUCUGAUGAGAUAAUACCUAGUAAUACCACACUCUUUCAUGUGUGUUUUUGCAUGUAAUAGUCACAUCUUUUUACAGAUGAAGACCACAUUGUUCAGAGAAAAUGAGUGUGUCUGUAAAGGAAUGAUCAUUGUCUGGAGUUCAGGCUCCUAAUCCCAAAUCUAGGAUUUUUCCCCCUCAUCUGCAGAUUUCUGAUACUUCCUGUGGAAUUUAAAUAUUCAUGAGUCAUGCUGUCAUGGGAUUACACAAUUUUUCAGAGAAGGAAAAAAAAUAGCUUACAUUUAAAAGAUGAACUCUUAGGAUCUGAUAGGGGCUAAUUAAGCCCCCCUUGAACUCAUAUGUUGACAUCCCAACCCCAGUACCUCAGACCAUGACUUUGGUGGCUUAUAAAGAGGUGAUUAAGUUACAAUGGGGUCUAUGGAGUAGGCUCCAGUCCAACAUGACUAGUGUCUUCUGAAGAGAUGAAGACAUAGCCAUGCAGGCGAAGACCACAGGAAGAAGACAGCGUUCUUCACACCCAGGACAAAAGUCUCAGAAGAAACCAAACCUGCAGCACUUGAUCCUGGACUAUAAGCCUCCAGAAUUCUGCAAGAAUAUAUUCAUAUAUAUUAAUUAAUUCAUGAUUGCACUAAUUAA